rnacentral:rRNA from 1 species
GACGAACGCUGGCGGCGUGCUUAACACAUGCAAGUCGAACGGAAAGGCCCUGCUUUUGUGGGGUGCUCGAGUGGCGAACGGGUGAGUAACACGUGAGUAACCUGCCCUUGACUUUGGGAUAACUUCAGGAAACUGGGGCUAAUACCGGAUAGGAGCUCCUGCUGCAUGGUGGGGGUUGGAAAGUUUCGGCGGUUGGGGAUGGACUCGCGGCUUAUCAGCUUGUUGGUGGGGUAGUGGCUUACCAAGGCUUUGACGGGUAGCCGGCCUGAGAGGGUGACCGGCAACAUUGGGACUGAGAUAAGGCCCAGACUCCAACGGGAGGAAGCAGUGGGGAAUAUUGCACAAUGGGCGGAAGCCUGAUGCAGCAACGCCGCGUGCGGGAUGACGGCCUUCGGGUUGUAAACCGCUUUCGCCUGUGACGAAGCGUGAGUGACGGUAAUGGGUAAAGAAGCACCGGCUAACUACGUG